rnacentral:rRNA from 1 species
GGGAAAGGAACAACGGGAUUGCCUUAGUAACGGCGAGUGAAGCGGCAACAGCUCAAAUUUGAAAUCUGGCCUCUUUCGGGGUCCGAGUUGUAAUUUGUAGAGGCAGUUUCGGGUACGGUCCCGGUCUAAGUUCCUUGGAACAGGACGUCAUGGAGGGUGAGAAUCCCGUGUGUGACCGGGCACCACGCCCAUGUGAAACGCCUUCGACGAGUCGAGUUGUUUGGGAAUGCAGCUCCAAAAUGGGUGGUAAAUUUCAUCUAAAGCUAAAUACCGGCCAGAGACCGAUAGCGCACAAGUAGAGUGAUCGAAAGAUGAAAAGCACUUUGGAAAGAGAGUUAAAAAGCAUGUGAAAUUGUUGAAAGGGAAGCGCAGGCAACCAGACUCGCUUCCGGGUGUUCAACCGGUGUUUUCACCGGCGCAUUCGCUCGGUAUCGGGCCAGCAUCGGUUUGGGCGGUCAGAUAAAGGCUCCGGGAAUGUAGCUCCCCUUCGGGGGAGUGUUAUAGCCCGGGGUGCAAUGUGGCCUGCCUGGACCGAGGAACGCGCCUCGUGCACGGAUGCUGGCGUAAUGGUUGUCUGCGGCCCGUCUUGAAACACGGACCAAGGAGUCUAACAUCUAUGCGAGUGUUUGGGUGUCAAACCCACACGCGGAAUGAAAGUGAACGGAGGUGAGAGCUUUCGGGCGCAUCAUCGACCGAUCCUGAUGUCUUCGGAUGGAUUUGAGUAAGAGCAUAGCUGUUGGGACCCGAAAGAUGGUGAACUAUGCCUAACUAGGGUGAAGCCAGAGGAAACUCUGGUGGAGGCUCGCAGCGGUUCUGACGUGCAAAUCGAUCGUCAAAGUUGGGUAUAGGGGCGAAAGACUAAUCGAACCAUUGAACUUGAAGCUGACUAGGUGGUUUAAAAAGGGAAGGGUGGUGCGAAGAGGCACGCCCUUCCUAGUCCUGGGGUCACUCCUCCGGGGCAAUGUCAUCAAAUUGCGGGGACCGUCCGGAGGGAUUUCCUCUCGGGCCAACCCGCAGCCAGGCUUACGGUUUCCACCGGGUCCGGUCCACUGACUAAAGGAUGACAGGUGCUCUCGCUCGGAGCGCUCAAGAUAUAGUCGUCCCCGGCGCGGUCGACGGCUACACGAGGCCCGUUC